AUUGAACGCUGGCGGCAUGCCUUACACAUGCAAGUCGAACGGCAGCACGGGUGCUUGCACCUGGUGGCGAGUGGCGAACGGGUGAGUAAUACAUCGGAACAUGUCCUGUAGUGGGGGAUAGCCCGGCGAAAGCCGGAUUAAUACCGCAUACGAUCUACGGAUGAAAGCGGGGGACCUUCGGGCCUCGCGCUAUAGGGUUGGCCGAUGGCUGAUUAGCUAGUUGGUGGGGUAAAGGCCUACCAAGGCGACGAUCAGUAGCUGGUCUGAGAGGACGACCAGCCACACUGGGACUGAGACACGGCCCAGACUCCUACGGGAGGCAGCAGUGGGGAAUUUUGGACAAUGGGCGAAAGCCUGAUCCAGCAAUGCCGCGUGUGUGAAGAAGGCCUUCGGGUUGUAAAGCACUUUUGUCCGGAAAGAAAUCCUUGGCCCUAAUACGGUCGGGGGAUGACGGUACCGGAAGAAUAAGCACCGGCUACUACGUG
rnacentral:rRNA from 1 species